AGUGAACGCUGGCGGUAGGCCUAACACAUCCAAGUCGAACGGCAGCACAGUAAGAGCUUGCUCUUACGGGUGGCGAGUGGCGGACGGUUGAGGUAUACAUCGGAAUCUACCUUUUCGUGGGUGUUAACGUAGGGAAACUUACGCUACUACCGCAUACGUCCUACGGGUGUAUGCAUGGGAUCUUCGGACCUUUCGCGCUUGAAUGACCCGAUGUCGGAUUAGCUAGUUGGCGGGGUAAAGGCCCACCAAGGCGACGAUCCGUACCUGGUCUGAGAGGAUGAUCAGCCACACUGGAACUGAGACACGGUCCAGAAUCCUACGGGAGGCAGCAGUGGGGAAUAUUGGACAAUGGGCGCAAGCCUGAUCCAGCCAUACCGCGUGGGUGAAGAAGGCCUUCGGGUUGUAAAGCCCUUUUGUUGGGAAAGAAAAGCAGCAGGUUAAUACCCCGCUGUUCUGACGGUACCCAAAGAAUAAGCACCGGCUAACUUCGUG
rnacentral:rRNA from 1 species